UAAAAUUUUCUUUUUCCUUCCUGAUUUGAGCUUCCGAUUGUUUUUUACCCCUGUAAUGCCGCCACCUUUUUUAGCCUCCUGCCAAACCCUUUGCACUAUUCUUCUAGGACAAUCACAAGCUAGCGCAACAGCUUUAGAAACUCCAUGCUUCAACUUUUUACCCGUACCAUUACGGGCAAGGAUCUCAGCAUAUAUGUGAUGCUUGUCAUCUGUACAAUACUGCCUUCUUGUCUCCUUGUUCAUCAUGACAUCUAGAUGCAAAUGACAAAUAAUUAGAGAAGAGAAAAUAUUGAAUAUUUCUGAAACAAG
rnacentral:lncRNA from 1 species